rnacentral:lncRNA from 1 species
UGUCUUCAUGUAUUGGCGUGAAGUAGAUCGAAGAUAUCAGAUCCUAUCUUCCUAUAUUGGUAGGAAGUGGAUCGACGAUGCAGAUCUUGUCUUCCCAUACUGGUGGUGAAGUAGAUCGAAGAAAGCCGAUCGACGAUGGCAGAUUUUUCCUCCCUGACUACAGUAGAGUACAUUGAAGCCAAUAACUCUAUCUCCCUACAUUCAACAGUGGAAUAGAGUGAAGAGCACAAAUCUUGUCUCCCUAAGCAGUAAUUGAGCGGACGAAGAAAAACACAAAUCUCAUCCCCAUGGAAUUGUAGCAGAGUAGAUUGAAGCUACAAGGCGUAUCUAAAGUUGCAGUAGAGCAGAUCGAAGAAUCAUAAGACGCAGUGGACUAGAAUGAGGGUACUUGAAGAAAGGAAGCACCAAAAGUCAAAACUCGACGAGCCCGAGCAAAAUUGGCCUUUCUUAGUCUUUGCUCUGUUCUCGUUACACGAUAACAAGCAAAGAGGGGCAGCUGUAAGGCCCAAUUUUAUGCCCAGGCCCGAAUAUUAAAACAAUAAACAACAGUCCAAUUACAAAAUAACAAACCAACCCACUACCUAGCCCAACAGCAGAAACCCUAGCCCAAAUAAAAAAAACAAAUGUUUGCAGCAGAAAACCCUAGGCGCAGCAUGCCUAGGGCGCGCCGCUCAGCCUCGUCUGUCCCCCUCACGCUCGCACGCCUCAGCCUUGGCCACCACGACGCCCACGCGUCUGACACUCCCACCUGCUCCACCGUGCCCACCACCUGCAACAAGAACAGACACCACAGCAAGGAAAGCAUGCAAAUGAUGGGGAAAACAAUAAACAAAAGGAACAAAACAAAUAUAUUGGCUUUAAAAGCCGAAAUCGGUGAUGGGAACUGGGGAUUUUUUUUUUUCCUUUCAUUUUUCAGUUGUAAUACUACUUAGAAUACAAAAAAAGGCAGAUUGAAGCAAGAAAAAGACCCGAAACGGAAAAGGCAGAGAUCUAAGGUUUCUUUUAUUUUUAUUCGAAAACUCAUCUAUUAUAUAUCUAUACAUAGCAUAAAUUUAUAAAAAAGGAAUAACAAAAAAAAUAAAAAAUUUUUACCUUUC